GAAUUUCUGUCUCAGCAAAACAACCAAGGGAAGAGAAAGAAGCAAUUUCAUAUUUAUAUUGGAUUGUGCUUAUACAGGAUGGUUGAAUUCUGCCUUGACAUGGGUGUAAAGCUGUGCCUGUGAACACUGGAGACUCGGUUUCAUGUGAAGAUCUUCUGUGGAUCCUGUGCAUCCAGGUGCCAAACUCAGCAGUGAAAGCCAGUAUAGGCAUGCCAGGACUCAAUUUGGGCUAUAGCUUUAAAAGCCAUAUAUGAGGACAUUCCAAGGCACAGACAAGGCUUCCAUCACUGGCGCAUGCAGAAAC
ensembl:lncRNA